GGGCAGCGACAAGAAAAGCCAACAACCCACAUAAAAAGAUGCCGCCAACCACUUCCCAGCCCCCGUCUACCUCCACGAAAUGCAGGUGGAAUUCCAAACCAGCGAGAAAGGAGCCGCAUUGAUUGAUAAUGAAGAAGAGUAACACGCUGUGAUGAGGCCAAGAAGCAUGGGCUGAAUGCAGGAAGGAACUAUGCCCCCUAGAACCUUUGGAGCAAAGAGACGCCGCCGUCGACAGAUGCAGGAGGCACAACCUUUGAAGUAAAACAAGGGUGCUGAAACUGAUGGUGCGAGGCACAACGUGCGAACAAAAAGGACUAUAAAAAGGCAAUCUUGCCACAAAAGGGACGAGCAGAACACCAUCGAAGCAGAUCAUGAGCACGGAGAGAAGAAAAGGGUGUGGUAAACGAAAUCAAGGAAAAGGCACGUACACACACACAUACCACGAGCACGAGCAAGGCGAGAGCGCGAAGGGUUGCUUGCAGGGAGGGCGGCGGCGGCGGCGGCGGCGGCAGCUGCAACCCAGAAGAGAUCCAGCUGCUGCUGCUCCCCGUCCCACCGCUACGGCGCCAUCUCAGACCCUCCACCCCCAAAGCAAAUGCGGCAGCUCAGCGGCGGCAACGGGUCUCGGGAUCGGAGGCCGAGGGGCAGCGGGAG